rnacentral:rRNA from 1 species
GAUGAACGCUCGCGACAGGCUUAACACAUGCAAGUCGAGGGGCAGCACAGGUAGCAAUACCGGGUGGCGACCGGCGCACGGGUGAGUAACGCGUAUGCAACUUACCUAUCAGAGGGGGAUAACCCGGCGAAAGUCGGACUAAUGCCGCAUGAAGCAGGGGUCCCGCAUGGGGAUAUUUGCUAAAGAUUCAUCGCUGAUAGAUAGGCAUGCGUUCCAUUAGGCAGUUGGCGGGGUAACGGCCCACCAAACCGACGAUGGAUAGGGGUUCUGAGAGGAAGGUCCCCCACAUUGGUACUGAGACACGGACCAAACUCCUACGGGAGGCAGCAGUGAGGAAUAUUGGUCAAUGGCCGAGAGGCUGAACCAGCCAAGUCGCGUGAGGGAUGAAGGUUCUAUGGAUCGUAAACCUCUUUUAUAAGGGAAUAAAGUGCGGGACGUGUCCCGUUUUGUAUGUACCUUAUGAAUAAGGAUCGGCUAACUCCGUG